rnacentral:misc_RNA from 1 species
AACUUUUGACAACGGAUCACUUGGCUCUCGCAUCGAUGAAGAACGCAGCGAAAUGCGAUAAGUAAUGUGAAUUGCAGAAUUCAGUUAAUCAUCGAAUCUUUGAACGCACCUUGCGCCCUUUGGCUAUUCUGAAGGGCAUGCCUGUUUGAGUAUCAUGAACACCUCAACUCUCAUGGUCCGCCAUGAUGGGCGUGGACUCUGCGGGUCCUGCCGGCCCCGUGUCGUCUCCUCUCAAAUGGAUCGCCUUGCGAGUGUUUGGUGGCGUCACAGGUGCCAUGACUGUGUCCUGUUCCCGUUUUCUGCCAUAAAACCUUCAGUGAUGGAGGUUCUGUGGGGUUCACAGAUGUCUCUCCUUGGGGAGGAGAGUUUUUGAACGUUUGAUCUCAAAUCAGGUAGAACUACCGGAUGACCUUAAGCAUAUAAAUACGCGGAGGCU